rnacentral:precursor_RNA from 7 species
UGGAAAGCAGAGGAGACAAGGAGCGUGUUUAACAGCUGAGUGAUUUAAAGCAAUCAAAUUCCUUUGGCUUUAAAUCAUGCAGCUGUUGAACAAGCUCUUGCUUCAUUCGUUCCAAGGUC